GGCGAGGCUGCGCCCUCGGCUCCCUACGGAUCCCGGCCGGCCGAGCGGCUCCAGGCCUGGUCCGGGAGCGCGGGGCCGCCAGGCAGCGGAGGGAGAGAUGAGGAGGACCCGGAGGCUCGCCGCGGGAGGGUGCCCAGGAUCUCAGAUCAGAGACCCUGAGACACUAUGAGGAGGCUCCUGACCUCAACGCUGGACACUGUCCUGGGACUGAGCGACCCUGCCAGCGGAGCCUCCUUAAAUUGUGUGCAGCUGUAAGCUCUUCCCAACAUCACCAGGUCAGGAAUUAGCCUGAGGAUUGUCUGGUACCUCAUUCUGGAUCAUCUCCCCUCUAUGCACCUCACAGGGAGACAGCACCCAAACCUUCAA